rnacentral:rRNA from 1 species
GUAGGGAAUCUUGGACAAUGGGCGAAAGCCUGAUCCAGCGACGCCGCGUGAGUGAUGAAGGCCCUCGGGUUGUAAAGCUCUGUUGAGAGGGAAGAAAACAGGCCGUUCAAAUAGGGCGGUCUCUUGACGGUACCUCUUUAGAAAGCACCGGCUAACUCUGUGCCAGCAGCCGCGGUAAGACAGAGGGUGCAAACGUUGCUCGGAAUUACUGGGCGUAAAGCGCGUGUAGGCGGACCGAUAAGUCAGGUGUGAAAGCCCUGGGCUCAACCCAGGAACUGCAUUUGAAACUGUCGGUCUAGAGUGGUGGAGAGGGAAGUGGAAUUCCUGGUGUAGAGGUGAAAUUCGUAGAGAUCAGGAGGAACACCAGUGGCGAAGGCGGCUUCCUGGACACUUACUGACGCUGAGACGCGAAAGCGUGGGGAGCAAACAGG